rnacentral:tRNA from 1 species
AGGGGCGUAGCUCAGCUGGCCAGAGCGCCGGUCUCCAAAACCGGAUGCCGCAGGUUCGAGUCCUGCCGCCCCUGCCA